rnacentral:rRNA from 1 species
UACAGAGGGUGCGAGCGUUGUUCGGAAUUACUGGGCGUAAAGCGCGUGUAGGCUGCUCCGCAAGUCGGGUGUGAAAGCCCUGGGCUCAACCUAGGAAGUGCACUCGAAACUUCGGAGCUGGAGUCCUGGAGAGGAAGGCGGAAUUCUCGGUGUAGCGGUGAAAUGCGUAGAGAUCGGAAAGAACACCAACGGCGAAAGCACUCUGCUGGGCCGACACUGACACUGAGAGACGAAAGCUAGGGGAGCGAAUGGG